AGGCGCUGCGGGAUGGCGUGGCCCAUGCCCGGCUGAAAGCCGUGCACCAGCGCCUGGUCGAGGUAGGCCAGCGCCUG
rnacentral:tRNA from 1 species